CCCAAGCAAGACACGGUGGUGACGGAGCCACUUCAGGACCCAUUAUCAGCCAGUCUGCUUUACAGGCAGACGUUGGCUAAGUCGGUCCAGCGCCCACUUUUGGAAGAGGAGAGCCUGACGCGGAUUAUCGAAUCACCCUCCGAACAGAUUGCCGGAGCUCCAUCUUCCGACAACGCUAAAAAGGGUGUUGAUGAUCUCCCAAUCAGUGGACCUGUCGUUGAAGACAAACUGGCCAACUAUGUGCCCACGCCCAUGCCCAGGAAACGCUCCAUGAUGGUUGCCACUAGUGAAAGCGAGGAGGAGCCGCCUCGGAGCGACAGUGGCGCCACCCUGAACUCGAGGCUGCCAGCAGCACCCUCUGUCGGCCCGGACGAUGCGGCUGCCGCGCCGCUGGAGCCAAACUCUGCGACAACAGCACGGCGGCAGCACCCACCGAUGUCCGCCGGCUGGUGGCGGCACCCGUCUCCUGCGUUACGCCAGCAGUGAGCCCGACCGGCCGGACUGCGAGUCCGAGCCCGAGCAACACUCCAGCGUCUCCGAGCGACACGGCAGCGGGGAGUCCGACUCCUGCGGUCGCGCGGGCGGCGACGCCGAC